AAACGCAGCGUUUCAUUAAGUUUUUUUCAAAACGCACAACUUCAACCAAUGCCAGCAAUCAGCUCACUCCACACCAAGCAUCCCAACAUCAUUACACACAUUGCUUCAGCCCAAUUCAAGCGCAUCAGAAUUGUCUUUGCUCUCUGCACAAUUAAUCUUCANCCCAUCAAUAAAUGGCCCAAAAGCAACUUCAGCAACA
rnacentral:lncRNA from 1 species